rnacentral:tRNA from 1 species
GCCGCCCUAGCUCAGUUGGUAGAGCGCCACUUUUGUAAAGUGGAUGUCGUCAGUUCGAAUCUGACGGGCGGCU